CUCCAGCCUGUCAGAGUUCUUGCAGCACGAACUGACAUGUUGCCCACACAAUCAAGGGAUCAGAUAAUUAAUCUAGUACAGAAAGCAUAAACUACAGCUAGCUAACACUGCGGUGUAUAAAAUGUGGUGAGUAGUGACUCAAAGAGAGAGAAAGACAAUUGUUCAACAGUUUUGAACAAAUUAAUUUCUUCCAAAAUGAAGGACAAGCAAGAGAGAGAGAGAUUUCGUCUUUUUUUCUUCACUUUCAGUUUCAGUUACUUAGCUAGCAAAUGCAGCUAGCUAGUUUAGCCUACUGAAACACCCUGCUCAAACACAGGGAUGCUAUGUUAGCUAACUGGCUAUGACUUACCAACACAAUACUGGAACUCUUCCAAGUCAAGGAGCCAUGAACAACGCUCGGUUUUUGACAGCUGUAAGUGCAGCUCGGAAGCUCUCCAUCAUCCGAAUGUUGACUGAGCUCCAGCAGAGGUCUUCCCCUCCAUGACCUCCCUGGCCGGAGGGGCUCCCAACACCUUCUUCUUCCAGUCCUGCUCCAUCCAGGUGAAGAAUGGGGACACGAUCACCUUCGACGAGACCAUGAUGAAGAGGGCUCUACAGUACUCUGCCUCCAGCGGGGUGAUGUCAUUCUCCUAAUAUUUUUCGUGACAGAUGCCCACACCAUUCUGAUGUUGGGAAUCCCAGAGCUGUUGACUUGAAUGAAGAACCUGCAAAAGAACCUUCACAACCCUCCUACAGCCAACUACAGUCCAGAAAAGGGUCAAAUGGAUAUGUGUGUUAUUACAGGCAGCCAGGUGGGCCUCUGCAAGGUUUUUGAAAUGCUUGUCAAUCCUGGAGAUGUUCUACUCCACGCAUCAACCUACUCUGGAACUCUCGCUGCACUUGCCAGACAGUAUGACCUCCUUAUUAUCGAGGAUGACCGCUAUUUCUUCCUAGUUUGAAAAGGCUGCUCAUGCCUGCCUGCCUGCCUGCCUGAGCGAGCUCCCAUGUUUCUCACCAUGGACGUUGACGGGCGGAUCAUCAGGACAGACUCCUUCUCAAAGAUCCUGUCGUCAUGCUCAUUGUGUCCCAACUGCUGCAUGGCUGGGGUCAGGAAGGUGUCCUCAACAACAUAGAUGGUGCUCACUCCUCCCCAACUCACGGCUGUCAUGGUGACUGGUACCAGGCUGUGUAUCUUCUCCCAGAGGAUCCCUGCUAUAGGAUCCCUGAUGGCUAACAACAACAUAUCCCGACGUAAUGUAAACUUUACCCUCUCUCGCUCAGUGACAUGAAUAAGUAUAUUUCAUAUUCUCAGAACCCAACAUUGCUAAACAUUGUAUCUGUAGUGCUAGGCAGGAACCUAAGUGAUAUGGGCCAUAAACCUUUCUUUCUCCCUUAACGUGACCUGACCUGACCUCGACCCCGUUCAUCGUUAAUCCAUGGCUCUCUCCCCUUAUCAAUGCCUGCCACGUGAUCACUUUUCCUACUCUCAGGACCUUCCCCCUAGAGAUAACCCUUCACCUCUGCCCCUCGGCUAUGGCACCCCUCAGGUCUCAUUACAACUAAUGAUUAAUAACAUUUAAAGUUCAGAAAUCCAAACCCAUCAAAGCCUAACAUUA